rnacentral:snoRNA from 1 species
AUUCUGUGGUGGGGGCAAGCCAAGAGGUACUCUUGGAAGUGCUCCCACACUUCAGAGAUUGACUCGUCUGACACCUAUUGGAAGUUGGUUAUCCUAUCACAAAGAGC